CACGAACAAGUGCGCUGCGCCGAGGGCACCGGCUGGGGGCGAGCAGAUCUCGAGCAGCCGCCGGCUGGCGCCGCAGCCGUUGCUACCGCCGCAGCGCAGUGGGGUUCAGAGGCCCAGAAGGUGGUGACCCAGGAUGUCGUCCACCGCGGCUUUUUGCCUUCUCUCUACCCUGGGAGGGUAUUUGGUCACGUCGUUCUUGUUGCUUAAAUACCCAACGUUGUUGCACCAGAAAAAGAAGCAGCGAUUCAUCAGUAGGCACAUCUCUCACCGCGGAGGUGCUGGAGAAAACCUGGAGAACACAAUGGCUGCCUUCCAACAUGCAGUUACCAUUGGAACUGAUAUGUUAGAACUGGAUUGCCAUAUCACAAAAGAUGAACAAGUCGUGGUGUCACAUGACGCAAAUCUGAAGAGGUCAACUGGGAUCAAUGUAAAUGUCUCUGAUCUCAAAUAUUGUGAGCUCCCACCUUACCUUUGCAAACUGGAUGUCCCAUUUCAGAGAGCAUGCAAGUGUGAAGGAAAAGAUAACCGAAUUCCAUUGCUGAAGGAAGUGUUUGAGGCCUUUCCUGAGACCCCCAUUAACAUCGACAUCAAAGUCAACAACAACGUGCUGAUUAAGAAGGUCUCAGAACUGGUGAAGCAGUAUAAGAGAGAGCACCUGACGGUGUGGGGCAAUGCGAGCUCUGAAAUUGUGGAGAAGUGUUACAAAGAGAACUCAGACAUCCCUAUACUCUUCAGCCUACAGCGUGUUCUGCUCAUCCUUGGUCUUUUCUUCACUGGCCUCUUGCCCUUUGUGCCCAUUCGAGAACAGUUCUUUGAAAUUCCAAUGCCUUCUAUCAUACUGAAGCUAAAAGAACCACACACUAUGUCCAAAGGUCAUAAGUUUCUCAUCUGGCUUUCUGAUACCCUAUUAAUGCGGAAAGCUUUAUUUGACCACCUCACUGCCCGGGGCAUCCAAGUAUACGUUUGGGUUUUAAAUGAAGAACACGAGUACAAAAGAGCUUUUGAUCUGGGAGCCACUGGAGUGAUGACAGACUACCCAACAAAGCUUAAGGAUUUCCUCAAUAAUUUUCCUGCGUAAGAAAGGGUCUCAGAAUUACUCAAAGGAGACAUGACGUGAAAAGAUCCGAGGAAAGGUGUGGCACCAUUGUUUCCCUGAGAUUUGCAGAAUGGUAAAAAGGUUUAAUCAAUUGUAAGUGACAUUGCAGUCCUCGUAACAAUUGAGCUGGUGGGAGCACAGCACCAUCGCGGGUAUUUUUAGUGUGAGCCUGCCCUUGACCUUCAGGAACUCAGUCUGCUGAGGACUAGCUACCGACAGACUUACCCAAUGUUAGACAUCACUUCCUCUGCUUUCUGAUGUGACUCCAUGUAAAUCUGUUUCUAACCUUUUUGACUAAAUUUUCAUGAUCUCAGAUUGGGAGAUAAGUAUAAUAUGGACUAAUAAAUGUCUUUUGCCUAAA